GAUGAACGCUGGCGGCGUGCCUAAUACAUGCAAGUCGAGCGAACAGACGAGGAGCUUGCUCCUCUGACGUUAGCGGCGGACGGGUGAGUAACACGUGGAUCACCUACCUAUAAGACUGGGAUAACUUCGGGAAACCGGAGCUAAUACCGGAUAAUAUAUUGAACCGCAUGGUUCAAUAGUGAAAGACGGUUUUGCUGUCACUUAUAGAUGGUUCCGCGCCGCAUUAGCUAGUUGGUACGGUAACGGCUUACCAAGGCGACGAUGCGUAGCCGACCUGAGAGGGGGAUCGGCCACACUGGAACUGAGACACGGUCCAGACUCCUACGGGAGGCAGCAGUAGGGAAUCUUCCGCAAUGGGCGAAAGCCUGACGGAGCAACGCCGCGUGAGUGAUGAAGGUCUUCGGAUCGUAAAACUCUGUUAUUAGGGAAGAACAAAUGUGUAAGUAACUAUGCACGUCUUGACGGUACCGAAUCAGAAAGCCAUGGCUAACUACGU
rnacentral:rRNA from 1 species